rnacentral:rRNA from 1 species
CGUUCCCGUGGCAAGACGGAAAGACCCCGUGAACCUUUACUAUAGCUUUACACUGAACGUUGAGUUCGUCUGUGUAGGAUAGGUGGGAGGCUAUGAAACUGUGGCGCUAGCUGCAGUGGAGCCAUCCUUGAAAUACCACCCUGUCGUGCUUGACGUUCUAACCUAGGUCCGUUAUCCGGAUCAGGGACCGUGUAUGGUGGGUAGUUUGACUGGGGCGGUCUCCUCCUAAAGAGUAACGGAGGAGCACGAAGGUACGCUCAGCGCGGUCGGACAUCGCGCACUGUGUGCAAAGGCAUAAGCGUGCUUGACUGCAAGAUCGACGGAUCAAGCAGGUACGAAAGUAGGUCUUAGUGAUCCGGUGGUUCUGUAUGGAAGGGCCAUCGCUCAACGGAUAAAAGGUACUCCGGGGAUAACAGGCUGAUACCGCCCAAGAGUUCAUAUCGACGGCGGUGUUUGGCACCUCGAUGUCGGCUCAUCACAUCCUGGGGCUGUAGUCGGUCCCAAGGGUAUGGCUGUUCGCCAUUUAAAGUGGUACGCGAGCUGGGUUCAGAACGUCGUGAGACAGUUCGGUCCCUAUCUGCCAUGGGCGUUGGAAGUUUGAGAGGGGCUGCUCCUAGUACGAGAGGACCGGAGUGGACGAACCUCUGGUGUUCCGGUUGUCACGCCAGUGGCAUUGCCGGGUAGCUAUGUUCGGAAGCGAUAACCGCUGAAAGCAUCUAAGCGGGAAGCGCGCCUCAAGAUGAGACUUCCCGGGGCACAAGCCCCCUAAAGGAACCAUGUAGACUACGUGGUUGAUAGGUCAGGUGUGUAAGUACAGCAAUGUAUUGAGCUAACUGAUACUAAUGAUCCGUGCGGCUUGACCAUAUAACCUCA